rnacentral:rRNA from 1 species
AUUGAACGCUGGCGGCAUGCUUUACACAUGCCAGUCGAACGGCAGCACGGGGGCAGCCCUGGUGGCGAGUGGCGAACGGGUGAGUAAUACAUCGGAACGUGCCCGGUCGUGGGGGAUAACGUAGCGAAAGUUACGCUAAUACCGCAUACGAUCUGAGGAUGAAAGCGGGGGACCUUCGGGCCUCGCGCGAUCGGAGCGGCCGAUGUCAGAUUAGGUAGUUGGUGGGGUAAAGGCCUACCAAGCCGACGAUCUGUAGCUGGUCUGAGAGGACGACCAGCCACACUGGGACUGAGACACGGCCCAGACUCCUACGGGAGGCAGCAGUGGGGAAUUUUGGACAAUGGGCGCAAGCCUGAUCCAGCCAUGCCGCGUGCAGGACGAAGGCCUUCGGGUUGUAAACUGCUUUUGUACGGAACGAAAAGGCUCUGGCUAAUACCUGGGGCUCAUGACGGUACCGUAAGAAUAAGCACCGGCUAACUACGUG